rnacentral:lncRNA from 1 species
GGUUAGCGGCGUGCUCGUGCCAUGUGCCUGUCAGUUCUGCAAGCAUUUGUUGGAUGUGAAGGUUGGUGUGAUGACCACGCUGCCCAUAACAGGCCGGUGGUUGACGUGGUCUCCAUGAGCUGUGUGCAUCCUUCAGUGACGAGACAAGAUUUGUGCCCCCCGGGAAGGUCCCCAGCCUCCCCCCACCUGCCCUCUGAAAAUCUUCCUUGAUUUCCUCUCAUCCGUCCCUCAGGGGUCCUGUCUUUGUGAUGUCAGCGUGAAGUGGAAUUCACAGAAUGGCUAAAGUGGAGGGAAGACUUAAAAUGCAUUGGAUGAUGAUAGCAGCCUCAUUUACAAUCACCACGACUUGGAAGCAGCCGAGAUGUCCUUUGGCAGAUGAUUGGAGAAAUGAACUGUGGCACAUCCAUGCAGACCAUGGAAUACUAUUCAGUGCUAAAAAUGAGUGAGCUUUCCAUCCUUGUAAAGACAUAGAGAAACCUGAAAUGCAGAUCACAAAGUGAAAGGCCAAUCUGGAAAGGCUACACACCCUAUGACUCCAACCCUGUGACAUUCCCAAAGAGGAAAAAUUAUGGGGACAGUAAAAAGAGGAGCUGCCAUCAUUAGGGAAGCAGGAGCUGAGGAGAGUCAGAGUGACACCAUUGAAAAAUCUUCUCUGUCUUGAGACUAACAAGGUACCUUCCUUGCCAGUCACAACCCAUGGUCCUAAGAUGGUCGCAGCUAAGGAGGCAGCUUGGUACUGCCUGCAAGGACAAACUCCUAAAACAACAGAAAGCCCAGAUGUCCCAAUACCCAUAGCAAUAUGUGCUUUCAAGAUAAUUAUAGAUAUGCUUUGAUGUACUCAUGUACUAGACUGUUAAGGAUAGUUUUCUUUAAACCAGUAGCAUAAUCAAUUUUGUCGUGCUGUCUGCUCCCCCUCACAGAGUCGCAGCUUGGUUUAGUCAUUAUGUAGACAAGACCCCUAUAUAAGAAAAACUUAAAACAAAGACGGUGCAUUCUCUCGGAAGGUCCCGUGAUCUGUAAUGGAGUAGGUUUUAAUAAACG